rnacentral:rRNA from 1 species
ACUCCUACGGGAGGCAGCAGUAGGGAAUAUUGGACAAUGGGCGAAAGCCUGAUCCAGCAAUGCCGCGUGAGUGAUGAAGGUUUAUGGAUCGUAAAGCUCUGUCGUAUAGGAAUAAAUGCCUGUGGUUAAUACCCGCAGGAGCUGAAGGUACUAUACAAGAAAGCACCGGCUAACUACGUGCCAGCAGCCGCGGUAAUACGUAGGGUGCUAGCGUUGUUCGGAAUUACUGGGCGUAAAGCGUAUGUAGGCAGCCAUUUAAGUCAGAUGUGAAAG